GCUAUCCAAACCGUUUAUAAGGUCAUUCUCGAUAGGAUGAAGUGAAAACAUCAGAAAGAUUGCCUGUACGAAACUUUUAUGGUCAUAACAAUGCUUCAACGGUUCUCAUAGAAUUUCCACUGUUUCCUCUCGUGUGGCGCAGUUGAGUGUUGGAUACACUUCGUUUUUUGUCUCACGUACUAAAAUGAGCUUGCAAAACGUAUGGACGGGGUGGAUUUCUCGUAAACAUUUCGAAUGUAAAAAAACAAAAAGAUGUCUCUGAUUUUUAUCUUCUCCCUAGUACUGCUGUACUCUCUCUCCACCAAAUUUGUAAUCCCGUCAACUCGUCUCCAUUUUCUUCGUUUCGUAUUCCCACGAGCAAUGGGCAAAUUCCCUCUUUCCACCCUCAAAAUCCAAUUCCAUUUAAUCCGAUUUCUUCAAUUCGAUUCUUCAGGGAAAAAAGACCUAGAAAGCGCGAUCGAUUUUAAUUCCAAGGCUGGGGAUCUUAGCAGAGGAUGAAACCAUGUUUACGAGGAUCUUCGGCAAACCUAUGCAGGAAACCAAUCCCCUGACAACUCUCGAUAAGCUUACUGAGGAAUGUUAUCUAUCACCCUGAGUAUGGCCAUUCUAUGUCAAACCUUAUCAUUCAGAACAUCCUGGUUGACAGUACCUUGGAUCCAGGCCAACCAGCUUUUAGACCAUAAUAGCCUUGUCACAUCUAUUUGGAGAUAGCUCAGUUCUCAUGGCUAAAGUUGAACAAUGACUCUGUUUGACAUCAACCCUCCUUUACCCAGGUUGGGGACAGCAAGAUACUCUUAUGAAGGCCUCUCUAAACUAGCCCUUUGCAUUGCAGAUACUGUAUAUUUGUUUCAAAAUAUCUUUUUAAACAGUAGUUUCUCUUCUUCUCUUCUCCAUUUCCUUCUGCUCUUGAUUUGCUGCCAUGUCUUUCUGAAUGGUAAGAUUCUUCCGAUCCUUAAUUUGCUAGAUAUUUCCUUGUUGAGAAAUUGUGAUUCUUUUAUAUCUGACUUCUUUUAGUAUCUGUAGUAGUUUUAUUUAUUUAUUAAUUUAUGAAUUUCAUGUUUUCUGUAGUUGAAAUAUAAUUCGUGUUUAUUUUUUUUGAUGUCCUCCAUUUAUAAGGUAAAUCAAAUAGAAUGUUUGGAUCAUGUAGAAAGACCCCUGAUUUGAUUGGCUAAUUGCAAUCAAAUCAGUUUCUUCAUGAAAACUGGUUAGAUGCUUGUUGCCUUUGUUUCGUUAAUGUUCUUGUUGGACUUUUCCUUGUAUACUUGUGUUGUCCAUGAAAACUGCUGAGGAUUGCAUCUUUGCAACAUCUGAAAGGAUUGCUUGGGAUAGUUCAUUUCGCUACUAAGAUGGGAUUCUUGCCUGUAAUUCUUUCUAUUUUUAAAGCACAAACCUGAGGUAGGAAACCACAUGCCUUUUUUCCCUUUUAUGUUACACAAAUGAGAAAUUAUACAAAUUCUAAUUAGUUAGCAAGGGAGAAUCAACAGAAUGUUUUGAAGCUCCAUGCCCAUUUCCAUCUUUAUAUUGCUAACAGAAUUUGUCCUUUACCUUCACUAUGGUUUUAUUCAGGAUGAUGGUUUUCAUCUUUUCUUUUCCUUUUCAGACUAUUCAACGUCUAUGUUCAUAGCUUUCUUAGCUCCAAGAUACAUGUUGCAAGGUACCCAUAUGGAUUUGGCAACUGUGGUCCCAGAUCUUGAACCAACAGAACUAUUAUAAAUGGAAAACGGUGAGAGAGGAUAUGAUAUCUCUUCUGUGUUCAAGUUUGUUCUGUUUGUUGGACCACUCUCUCUGAAAUAUUAACCCAAUUUCCACUUUCCAUUGCAGCUGACAUGAACGAAGUCAGGUUGAAAGUUGUUUUAUGUGGCGGGUUUUGAUAGGAUAUGGUGCCACUGGCUACAAUUCCUCGGAGUACAUCCUUAUUUGGAUAUAAGCUUUUCAUGUUCUUUUUACAAUCAUAUAGAAGCUAUGGUCUUAUAAUCAUGCUUGAUUGAUAAUUCUGAAGUAUGACUUAGUUUCACACGAGCUAGUACUGAGAUUUCAAGUGUGUUUGAAGCCAAUGUUGACUAUAAUCUUCACUUGAAUAUUAACCCAAUGUUCACUUUCCAUUGCAA